CCGGCCCGCCGCUGCCGAAACCCUGCCGAGCGCGCCGCCAUCGGCCGCCUGCCCCAGCACGCCACCGCCACGACCUCCCUCCCUCAGUGCGGCGCCGCCUAGCCCCUGCCUCCGUUAGAAACAAAAAAGAUGGUGAACUGUGGGAGUACUUCCCUUGCUCUUUCUGCUACAUCAAGGUCGAAAAAAGCCCUUCAUCUGCAUCCAUCUGCCGGAGGAACACUGCUUUGACAUCAGGAACGCUUUCCUCCACUAGAGCCACUGCGGCCCCCGGCAGCCCAUGGUGGAGGAGUUCGUCGCGUCCAUCAGUCCAACCCCAUGGCUUCAGGGCGUCCGAGUUUCGUCGCGGCCAUCAGUUCGGACACCUGCGUCACUGCGUGUGUUGCAACCAUGGCCAUUUGUGUCACUGCGUGCUCCGUCACCGGCCUCCUGCGCACCGUGACCCCUGCCACACUCCUUCCUCUCACUGAAGCCGCUCGUGCCCUCCCAGGCUUGAUAUCCUGCCGCAGCGAUGAGCUCCUGUACAUCGCCGAAGUUCCAUACCUGCUCAACGGCACCAGCACGAGGAUGCAGCAGCUAGGCUGAACCCCAGUUCGUGCCUCAAGGUCAAGUACGCGGACGCCUGCGAGGAGGCACCUUCAGUGCAGGUUCUCCGGUGCGCCAAGUAUUGCCGGCAGCGAUGCCUGCUUACGUCUUCCUCGUAUGAUUCGCCAAGGCCGCGUCCUCCUCUGAGAUAAGAAGAGCGACAAGGAGGUAAAAGGAACACCAGAUUUUUACAAAUUCUGCAGAUGUAGUACGUAUUUGCCAUUUUGCCAAAGCAGUGAGUCUAUGUGCUGAUGUUUCUCUUGUCUUCUCUUGGAUGUAUUUGUCGAUGGAGAGCACGGUCUUUUUUUCGUGGAGCUGGCGCUGCUGCAGUACGGCCUAGUCCAGUCUAAGGCCUCCAUGGUUGCUGCUGCUGUUUCCGCAACCAGGCUACCCCGAAGAAGACCCCUAUGUGAAUUGACAAUCUAAAUUAUACACAAGUAGCAAUGGGGCUGACUGAGAGUGAUCCCUGAACCAUUUCAUUAAAGGCCAUGGUUUCCAAUAAUGCUAAUGCUACUAGAAAGGAACUAGAGGCCAUGAAGCCUCUUAGCUUCUUCAAUUAGCAUGUUUGGCCAGUCCUGAAGCGCCUCCUCAAGCUCUUCGACGAUAACCGGGCGCCCAUCAAGGACAAGAGCUACAACAUCCUUGUUGACACCACUGGAUGGCAAAAGCAAUGAACCAAUACCUACCACUACCGGUCAUUACAAUGCCGCCCUUGUACAAGGUUCAAAGACAUUAUACUGAGAAGGAAAGGAGAUGCUACGGUCAGCAGCUUCCUCGUGCCAUCGCGGUAUGGUCCCUCGAGCAAUAGCUCGUCCACCACGGGUGCUUGCAGCCGUCCAAGUCGAGGGUUGACGCCAGUCCAAGUAGAAUCACACCCACCAUCUUCACUAGCACUGUGCAACCGGCCAUGAGCACACACAACAAGGAAAAAAGUGAAAGCCCGCCAACCCGCGUCGCGUUGCCCCGGGACCCCCGAGCACUGCCGCGCGCCCAUCGCCGGUGCCUGACGCUCGAUCCAGGAGGUGCUAGCUCAUGCUGGCUGGAACUAGGAUGCAAAAGGGUUGACGGAUCCAUGCCGCACAAGCACUGCGCCAUGCUCAGUCCAACCCCGUGGCUUCAGGGUGGCCGAGUUCGUCGCGACCAUCAGUUCAGAGACCUGCGUCACUACCCGUGUCGCUACCAUGGCCACCUGCAUCACUGCGUGCUCCGUCAACAGCCUCCUGCACAGGGAAAAGCAACAGGAGUAGAGGUGUCUGAGAUGCUCUGUUCUAGCGAGGUGGCUAAUUAUGUUUGUUAGUUUGUAAUACUUUGGCUGCAGUGUACUUAUGUAUCUUUUUCUGGCCGGAGCACGACCAGAGCUUAUGUCAGUACCAGCUUUGAUUGUGAUGGUACUACAAACUAUAUAAAAACACCAGCAAUCCAUUUUUACUCGUACUUACCUUUUAUACAAUUCACAUGGAUUGUGCCCCUAUUA